UUUUGGGGGGGGGGGGGGGUUGCAUUAAUUUUGGCAUAUUUCGGGGUGAUGUAAAAAUAUUUAAACUAUUUAUGGCAGCUCUAUUGACACUGUCUCGUAGCAAUGAACAUUCACCCAAAGCGGUUAGAAAGUUUUAUAAUGACAAAAAUACUGGAUCUUAAUAGCAUAAUGAUAUGGUAAUUAUUUAUUUAUUAACUGACAUCUGUUCCUCCUUUUUCUUCUCAUAGUAAAAUGGAAAAAAACUCUCUACAAAUAAUUCUAACUUAAUCUUUGUUUGUAAAUGUCACUACCUAAAGAAUUAAAUUUUUUAUUGAUUUUUUUAAAAC